GCAGUCGUGGCCGAGUGGUUAAGGCGAUGGACUAGAAAUCUAUUGGGGUCUCUCCGCACUGGUUCGAAUCCUUGCAACUGCG
rnacentral:tRNA from 1 species